rnacentral:rRNA from 2 species
GGAUGUUAGCGGCGGACGGGUGAGUAACACGUGGGUAACCUGCCUGUAAGACUGGGAUAACUCCGGGAAACCGGAGCUAAUACCGGAUAGUUCCUUGAACCGCAUGGUUCAAGGAUGAAAGACGGUUUCGGCUGUCACUUACAGAUGGACCCGCGGCGCAUUAGCUAGUUGGUGAGGUAACGGCUCACCAAGGCGACGAUGCGUAGCCGACCUGAGAGGGUGAUCGGCCACACUGGGACUGAGACACGGCCCAGACUCCUACGGGAGGCAGCAGUAGGGAAUCUUCCGCAAUGGACGAAAGUCUGACGGAGCAACGCCGCGUGAGUGAUGAAGGUUUUCGGAUCGUAAAGCUCUGUUGUUAGGGAAGAACAAGUGCAAGAGUAACUGCUUGCACCUUGACGGUACCUAACCAGAAAGCCACGGCUAACUACGUGCCAGCAGCCGCGGUAAUACGUAGGUGGCAAGCGUUGUCCGGAAUUAUUGGGCGUAAAGGGCUCGCAGGCGGUUUCUUAAGUCUGAUGUGAAAGCCCCCGGCUCAACCGGGGAGGGUCAUUGGAAACUGGGAAACUUGAGUGCAGAAGAGGAGAGUGGAAUUCCACGUGUAGCGGUGAAAUGCGUAGAGAUGUGGAGGAACACCAGUGGCGAAGGCGACUCUCUGGUCUGUAACUGACGCUGAGGAGCGAAAGCGUGGGGAGCGAACAGGAUUAGAUACCCUGGUAGUCCACGCCGUAAACGAUGAGUGCUAAGUGUUAGGGGGUUUCCGCCCCUUAGUGCUGCAGCUAACGCAUUAAGCACUCCGCCUGGGGAGUACGGUCGCAAGACUGAAACUCAAAGGAAUUGACGGGGGCCCGCACAAGCGGUGGAGCAUGUGGUUUAAUUCGAAGCAACGCGAAGAACCUUACCAGGUCUUGACAUCCUCUGACAACCCUAGAGAUAGGGCUUUCCCUUCGGGGACAGAGUGACAGGUGGUGCAUGGUUGUCGUCAGCUCGUGUCGUGAGAUGUUGGGUUAAGUCCCGCAACGAGCGCAACCCUUGAUCUUAGUUGCCAGCAUUCAGUUGGGCACUCUAAGGUGACUGCCGGUGACAAACCGGAGGAAGGUGGGGAUGACGUCAAAUCAUCAUGCCCCUUAUGACCUGGGCUACACACGUGCUACAAUGGACAGAACAAAGGGCUGCGAGACCGCAAGGUUUAGCCAAUCCCACAAAUCUGUUCUCAGUUCGGAUCGCAGUCUGCAAC